rnacentral:lncRNA from 1 species
CUUGGAUACAUCAUGAAGGGAUCUGAAACCUAUACCCCCUUCCUCAUAAGGCAUACACAGGUUAGUCCAUGAUGACCAAUGUCUUGAGGUUCCUCCCACAUUGCUGCUCCAGAAAAAUUUGGCAAAAAUGCUAUGUAAUUUGUUGAUCACAUGGCUUGGGGGAUUAACUGCUGAAAACAUAUGAAUUGGGAUACUUUGUAGGACAUUUGUGAUCAAUACAGCCCUACCUCCUACAGAUAGGAGUUUUCCUUUCCACGACUGCAAUUUGUCCAUAACCUUAGAAAUUAAUCCCUGGUAAUAAUCACUCCUUCUACUGGCAUAAAAAAUUGGGCAUCCGAGAUAGGUCAUAGGGAAACUUUGCCUUCCAAUACCUGUAAUCCUUUCCACCUUGUUAAUCACGUCAUUAUCCGUUAAAUGAUGCAUAUAUAUGGCUUAUUUGGCUUUGUUUACCAGUUGACCAGAUGAUGAUUCAUAAGCUUGCAGAACCUCCAUCACAACUGACAAUGAAGUUGCAUCUGAUGAGCGGAAGAUGAUUGUGUCAUCUGCAUAAACAAGAUGGUUUAUUUUUGGGCUCCAUUUUGGUAAUCCAAAUCCACGGAAAUACAGGUUAGUAUGCAGUGAGUUGAAACCUCGAGACAAUGCUUCUAAAGCUAGAAUGAAUAGGGUUGGUGACAGAGGGUCUCCCAGCUUAACUCCCCUAGAUGAUUUGAAAAAACCAUUCGGCUGACCAUUUAUAAGAAUAGAGUACCAAUUAUUCCCAAUCAAAUCAAAUAUCAAUCCAAUAAAAUCUUCAGAAAAUCCCAUAUUUCUUAGCAUUUUAGUCAGGAAUAACCAUGAUAAUCUAUCAUAAGCUUUUGUCAUGUCUAGCUUAAUCAUAACGUUUGGACCUGCUUUUGUUCUUAAUAUGAUAUCCUUAAUUAUUUCCUGAGUUAGCAGUACAUUCUCAACGAUGCUUCUUCUCUUCACAAAACCUGCCUGUUCCUAUGAGAUUAUGCUCGGUAACAAUUCAACCAACCUUUCAUGAAUGACCCGCGAGAAAAUCUUGUUAACAAAGUUGCUAAGACUGAUAGGUCUCAUCUCUGCAAAGGUUGACACGACUUUUUCUUUUGUAAUAAAGCCAGGUUUGUGUGCGUCACACUCUUUGGUGGCUACUGACCGCAGAAGAAAGACUUCACCAUGCCAACUACAUCUUGUUCAAUGAUUUCCCAACAAGUUUGGUAAAAGGCUCCAGUAAAACCAUCCGAUCCGCCUGAUGAGUCCCCAUUCAGUCCCAUAACUUCUCUCUUCACUUCCUCAUUCGAAGGCAAAGCCAUCAAUCUCACAUGUUGAUCAUUAUCAACCAUUGAAGGUACUUGAUUUAGAAUAUCAAAAGCAUUAGGAAAUGUACUCUCAGAAAAUUGAUCCUUGUAGAAUUUUACUGCUUCUUCGGCUAUUAAGUGAUCUUCUUCAAUCCAAUUACCAAGGCUAUUCUGGAUUCUUGAUAAUUUUAGUCUCUUCCUUCUCCCAUUAAAUUGAGCAUGGAAGAAUUUUGUGUUUCUAUCGCCAUCUUUGAACCAUAACAUGCCUGCUUUUUGUCUCCAAAAAUCUUCUUCAAAAGCAAGAUAUUUAAGCAUUUCAGCUUGGACCUGUCGUAAUCUCUGUCUGUUUAUCUGUGAAGGAUUAAGGUCCAAUUGUCUUUCAUGAACCAGGACCACCUCCUCAAGACUUGCAAUCUUCUGGAAUAUGUCCCCAUAUGUAGCUCUGCUCCAGGUAGAUAGUGCAUGUUUAAGCUUCUUUAAUUUGUAGUUAAAAGUGCUGAAAGGGUUAGCACUAAAAUCAACAUUCCAAUUCUGCUUCACUACAUCUUUGAAUGUUUCAUGCUUUGUCUAGACGUUAAGAAAUAUGAACGGCUUCUUAAUUAGGGGAGUUUUUAUAUCACAUUUCAGCAUCAUCGGACAAUUAUCAGAGCCAGUUUUGGACAGGUGAGUUACCUGCAAUCCAGGAAAGGUCUGUUGCAAUUCGUCAUUGCCUAAAUAUCUAUCCAAUCUUUUGAAAAUACAGUCCUCUGAUCUUCCAUUCCACCAUGUAAAUAUGCUUCCAUUAAAUCCCAAAUCUGUCAAUUAGCAGGUAUUUAUGCAGUGUCUAAAGUCAUCUAAUUCAAGGAUAUAAACUGAAAAUCCUCCAUACUUCUCUUCCUCGUCCCAUAUCACAUUAAAGUCACCUCCAACUAGCCAGGGUAGUGUCAUAUCUGAUGCCAUUGCAUACAAAGAAUCCCAUAGAUCAAUUCUUUCAAUGCGAUCACAUUUGGCGUAGACUAGUGUAAGGAUGAGCUCACCAUGAGUUUCAGUGUGCAUCAAUCUUAAAUUCAGCUGUUGAGUCAUAUUAUAUAGUGACUAGCGUAAGGAUAAGCUCAACAUUAGUUUCAGUGUGCAUCAAUCUCAACGUCAGUUGUUGAGUCAUGUUAUACAAAAUAGUAACUGAAAAAAUUUCAUCAAUUAAAGCCCAAAUCUUGUUCGACACAUUCAGCACAGCCUGUGACAUACCAAUUCUUGCUCGAUACCUCUCAAUUUUGUGAGAGUGCUGCACAGGCUCCAUGAUUCCUAUGAACUGAAAGUGAUGUUUUCUAUGCAUUGUAAUCAGCCUUUCAAAUGCUUGAAUUGUGUUUACUGAGCUCACAUUCCAUAUAAUGGAAUCCAUUAAAUGUAUUUGGGUUUGGACAGUGUACUCUUUGUUUGUACUCCACUAACAUGUACAUUAGAAGUCUCUUUUGACUGUUUCUUUUUUUGUUUUGUUGCAGAUUUUACAAGUUCAAUAUUCCUUGGUGACAAAUCCCUAUGCUUGGCAAUGAUAAGGAAAUUUUGUGCAGUGGAUUCCUCAUCCAUGUCUCUACCUUUAAGUUCUGCGUGGUCAUAUAGGUCAUGUCUUUCUAUUGGUUCUUUUGUUGUGACAGAAUCAAGUGGUUGAUUGACAAGGUCAGCAUUAUUUUCAUGAUUUGUAACUUCAGCUGCUUUUCCUUCAUGAUAUUUUUUCAACUAUUGUAUAUUGUUCGAAUCACUUCUUGGAUAGAUCUGCAUUGUUGCAUUAUGAGGAGUCCCUCCUGGAUCUAUGAUAUUGAUGUUUCCCUUUGUUGUCUUUUCUGCUACUGCAUUUGCGCUUUCACCUAUGCUUUGAAUAGUGAUUGCAUUGACAUUACCAUUAACAUUGUGGUCCUCAUUUUCCACGUCAUUUCCUCCAUUUUCAUCAUCACUAUGCAUUGUAUCUGGAAUCUGACCAUCUUCUAAGACUNNNNNNNNNNNNNNNNNNNNNNNNNNNNNNNNNNNNNNNNNNNNNNNNNNNNNNNNNNNNNNNNNNNNNNNNNNNNNNNNNNNNNNNNNNNNNNNNNNNNNNNNNNNNNUCCAUUUUUCUUUUUCAUUGCUUCCUCUGUUUGGUUGAGCCAUAAUUUCCCUGCUGUCCAUUUUUCUUUUUCAUUGAUCUUGAAUUUCUUAAAAUCUUCAGCUUCAAUAAAUUCAUUUUCAUUGUUGUUUUCUAAUUGUUGGUCAUCUUUGGUGUCCUGUGAAGGAAUGUCUAGAUAUAAAGUAUUGACCUGAACUGCAUUAUUUUUGAAAGUUUCUUGAACCCAUUGGGCAGUUGAGUAAUUGUCAAUAUGCUGCUCUUUCCCCAAAUCUUGUUGUGUGCAAUCUGCUUGAUUCCCUAUUUUUUUCAAGAUUUCUUUUUGCUGUAGGAUUGAAUGUAGGUCUGUAUGAUUUAGUUUCUUUGGUUGUUUCUUGGAAUUCCUGCUCCUCUAAAACAUUUUCCACAGCUGUUGUGCAAUUAUUUUGCUGAAUAUCAUUGUUGCUUGUGGUUUUUUGAACAGGAGAUUCCUCUAUAACUGCUAGUUGGUUACCUUCAUUGUUCUCAGCAUUUUCAAUUUCUAAAAAUGCCAAUUGGUUGGUAUUUUGGAUUUGUUUUGUGACAUCGGUAUUGUUACCAAGAACUAUUUCUUUACCUUGUGCAGCAGGAACUUCAGUUUGUUUUCCUUUGUUAAGUAACCUAUUAUCACAGACUUCCUUCCAUUGAGGGCCUACAUUA